rnacentral:tRNA from 1 species
GGAGAGGUGUCCGAGCGGUUUAAGGAGAAGGUCUUGAAAACCUUUAUGGUAGCAAUAUCAUCGUGGGUUCGAAUCCCACCCUCUCCGCCU